rnacentral:RNase_P_RNA from 1 species
GGAGUUAGCCAAACAAUCGCUGCUUCUUUGUAUUUGUGGUAAUGAAGAUAAAGUUAAUAUAAUUACAAGUGAAGGGGAGGAAAGUCCGGGCUCCAUAGGGCAGGGUGCCAGGUAAUUCCUGGGGGAUGUGAAUCUACGACAAGUGCAGCAGAAAGAAAACCGCCAAUAAUUAUUUUUUAUAACACAGAUAGUAAUAAAUAAUAUAGGUAAGGGUGAAAAGGCGUGGUAAGAGCACACCAUAUGGGCUGGUAACAGUUCGUAUCAUGUAAACUCCACUCGGAGCAAGGCUGAAUAGAAGUUCUAUAGUAUGGUCCGUACUGAACUUGGGUAAGCUGCUUAAGCUAUCAUGAGAAUGUUAGCGUAGAUGAAUGAUUGUUCAAGACAGAACCCGGCUUAACGGCUAGCUCUUUGU